GUGCAGUUUUAUGAAUUUCCCUGACCACUGAGGUGAUAUCACUAGUAAGAAGGAAACUGGGGCCCAGUUUAGUAUCUGUAGAUGCCUGAAGGAAGAUAACAGUUGAGCAGAUCUUUAAUGAAAUUCUGAUUUUCCUUUGACUGCAGCAGAAACCAGCUUAAUUUUCUCUUUGUAGUUGGCCAUGAUUUGUAAACCCCAUCACAUACCCACAGCAGCCCUUUUGUCCACCCUGAACACGCUCCCCUGAUCCCGCACCCCACAUAAUGUAAUGCACUUUGCACAGAGUCCCUCAUCUCCAUGAUUAUUACCCUAGUGUUGGGUUAAUUCUGGCACAAAUGCUAAGAUGUUACAGAAUUUUGGCUUAAACUAGAGCCAAAGGGUUAAGCUCUCUCCUGGGCUUGGAUGAUGUUGGAAGCAUAAGAGAGAACAAAGGUGAUUUUUUUUUUUCUUCUCAAAAAUGAUUUUGCAAAUCUUUUUCAGAGCUGAUAGACACACACCUUAGCUGGAUACAAAACAUAUUAUGAAACAGAAUGACUGUGAUCUUUGAUCCGAGAAAUCAAAGUUAAAGUUAAUGAAAUUAUCAGGAAGGAGUUUUCAGGACCUCCUGCCAG
rnacentral:sRNA from 1 species